AUUGAACGCUGGCGGCAUGCUUUACACAUGCAAGUCGAACGGUAACAGGCCUUCGGGUGCUGACGAGUGGCGCACGGGUGAGUAAUGCAUCGGAACGUGCCCAGAGGUGGGGGAUAACGCAGCGAAAGCUGUGCUAAUACCGCAUGUGAUCUGAGGAUGACAGCGGGGGACCAAGCAGCAAUGUUUGGCCUCGCGCCUCUGGAGCGGCCGAUGUCAGAUUAGGUAGUUGGUGGGGUAAAGGCCUACCAAGCCGACGAUCUGUAGCUGGUCUGAGAGGACGACCAGCCACACUGGGACUGAGACACGGCCCAGACUCCUACGGGAGGCAGCAGUGGGGAAUUUUGGACAAUGGGCGCAAGCCUGAUCCAGCAAUGCCGCGGGCGGGAAGAAGGCCUUCGGGUUGUAAACCGCUUUUGUACGGAACGAAAAGGCUCUGGCUAAUACCUGGGGCUGAUGACGGUACCGUAAGAAUAAGCACCGGCUAACUACGUGC
rnacentral:rRNA from 1 species